rnacentral:rRNA from 1 species
ACAAGCAGUGGGAGCACAGAGCAAUCUGUGUGACUGCGUACCUUUUGUAUAAUGGGUCAGCGACUUAUAUUCUGUAGCAAGGUUAACCGAAUAGGGGAGCCGAAGGGAAACCGAGUCUUAACUGGGCGUUAAGUUGCAGGGUAUAGACCCGAAACCCGGUGAUCUAGCCAUGGGCAGGUUGAAGGUUGGGUAACACUAACUGGAGGACCGAACCGACUAAUGUUGAAAAAUUAGCGGAUGACUUGUGGCUGGGGGUGAAAGGCCAAUCAAACCGGGAGAUAGCUGGUUCUCCCCGAAAGCUAUUUAGGUAGCGCCUCGUGAAUUCAUCUCCGGGGGUAGAGCACUGUUUCGGCAAGGGGGUCAUCCCGACUUACCAACCCGAUGCAAACUGCGAAUACCGGAGAAUGUUAUCACGGGAGACACACGGCGGGUGCUAACGUCCGUCGUGAAGAGGGAAACAACCCAGACCGCCAGCUAAGGUCCCAAAGUCAUGGUUAAGUGGGAAACGAUGUGGGAAGGCCCAGACAGCCAGGAUGUUGGCUUAGAAGCAGCCAUCAUUUAAAGAAAGCGUAAUAGCUCACUGGUCGAGUCGGCCUGCGCGGAAGAUGUAACGGGGCUAAACCAUGCACCGAAGCUGCGGCAGCGACGCUUAUGCGUUGUUGGGUAGGGGAGCGUUCUGUAAGCCUGCGAAGGUGUGCUGUGAGGCAUGCUGGAGGUAUCAGAAGUGCGAAUGCUGACAUAAGUAACGAUAAAGCGGGUGAAAAGCCCGCUCGCCGGAAGACCAAGGGUUCCUGUCCAACGUUAAUCGGGGCAGGGUGAGUCGACCCCUAAGGCGAGGCCGAAAGGCGUAGUCGAUGGGAAACAGGUUAAUAUUCCUGUACUUGGUGUUACUGCGAAGGGGGGACGGAGAAGGCUAUGUUGGCCGGGCGACGGUUGUCCCGGUUUAAGCGUGUAGGCUGGU